rnacentral:lncRNA from 1 species
UCUGCAGCAGAGCCUGCCUGGUGGCCCCUGAGGGAUUUGACACACGGCAAGGCACUUUGGAAAGGCUAGGGCAGAAGGGGAGUGGGUUGUAUAGCAGAUCUUGAACCUAAGACUCCUUCAUCCAUUCAGUCAGGCAUGUUGAACCUGGGCCCUGAGGCUGGCUGCGUGUGCUGAGCACAGUUAGGAGUGCAGCACAAGACAAAAGCCAUAAACGUGAAAUAAGAUAAGCUGGAGGAAGGGGAAGGCGUUAGCCUGGGGUGGGGGGUGGGGGCUAAAUUCUCUGUAGUAUUUAGCCUUGAAUGUUGUGGGUGGCAACAUAGUGUAACAGUGUUGCAAUUUUGAAAGAUUGGACAGGACAUGGAGGCUGGGGCAGUCCUGAGAGCGCAGGAUAAGUGAUGCUUGGCUUCCUACUUGGGGCCUGAGGGUCACUUUUCUGCAGUUCCCCAUCCAAAGGCUCUCAUUUAUUUCCUUCAGUUAUGACCAGAUUCUCUCCAGCACCUAGGACUGCCUGCUGUGAAUCUCAAUGUCUGCCCGAGAAGACUAUGCUAUCCCAAGAAGACAGAGCACACCUCAUACCCAGAUCUUUGUUUGCAAAGACUACGUUACCCGAACAGUGUCCAGAGCUCCUUAAAGAAGUGGCUGAUUCUGGGUCUGGGAUAAGACAUACAAGAUAAGCCUGGGUCAUCUGAUACCAUAACGAAAGAAAUGUCAGAUGAGAGAGCUGGCAAGAUGGCUCCACAGGCAAAGAGCUUGCCUGACAGGAGAGAAUGACUCCAGAGUUCUCCUCUGACCCCCACGUGUGCAUCUAACCCCACCCCACACAUACAUCUCACACACUAAUAACAACUCUUUAAAAAAGUGAUACUCAUCAAAAAGGACAUAGAAACCAGCUGAAGAGGCUACCAUGACCAUAUUUGGGACUAUUUGAUCAAUAAAAUAUACAUGUGUACUGUGGCAGGUUUUGGUGGGGCAAUACAGGGUCUCACUAUGUAUAUAGAUCAGGCUGGCCUCGAACUCAUAGAACUUGUCUCUGACUCCUGAGUGCUAGGAUUAAAGGCAUGUGCCACCACAUCCAACAUACCAAAUUACAUAUUGAAUUAAGUAAAAUAUGAGCCCAUGCUGACCAAACACCAAAACCAAAACCAAACAAAUAGAAGUACACGAGCUGAGUGCUAGGUGAGGGGCGGGUGCUUCACCAUUCCCAGAGGCCCAGGGAGGACAUUGCUACGGAGGAACCUGGCAGGCCCUGCCCUCCAGCAAACGACCUGGUGGAUAUCAUCCACAGAGAACAGACUGCAACGUCGCAAUCUCUGUUAGAACCACAGACACACGAUCACUCCUGUAGCCUCCUGCCAAAGCUGAAGGACCUGAAUCUCUUCACAAGGAAACGUCAGAGGAGCUGAGACUGAGAUGCAGUCUAGAAAAUCCCCGGCUGAUAAUAUUCAAAACCUCCGUGUUCUGAAAAGCAGGCACACACUGACAGGAAUGCCAAAAUCUCCGAAUGGGCCUGUAGAGGUUACUUCUGUUGGUUCAGUUUAACAUUUUGUUAGAUCUGUUUUGCUAUGCAUGCGUGUUUUGCCUGCGUGUAUGUGCUUGGAGGCUGUGUAGCUCAGAAGAGGGUGUCAGAUCCCUGAAAUUGGAGCCACCCAUGGCUGUGAGCCACCACUGUAUGUGCAAUAUAUGUGGGGUGUAUGGAUGCACACGUGGAGGUCAGAGGACUACUCUGAACCACAAACAAGUGCUUGUUUUGUGUGUUGAGCUGUCUCCCAUGCCUUCCAUCAUUGUUUUUUGUUUGUUUGUUUGUUUGUUUGUUUACACAGUUCCUUUGUUUAUGAUACCAGAUGGGUGGGUGGGUUGGUUUUUUUGAGACGAGGUCUCUCUUUGUAGCUGUAGCUGUCCUGGAACUCAUUAUGUAGACCAAGCUGACCCAGAACUCACUAUGUAGACCACACUGGCCUGAAACUCACUAUGUAGACCAGGCUGGCCUGAAACUCACAGUGCUGGGACCACACCUGGGACCAAUCUUGUUUGUGUUUCAUGAGUUGCACAUGAAGAUUGGACAAUGUGCAUUUUUAAGGUCACUAUGUCCUG